AUGGGCCAGCUGAUGGUAGGGCCAGCAGUGGCUGAGGUGGAGUGCCAAGAUCUCAUUUGCUUCUCUCCUUCGGAGGACAGAGGUGAAAAUCGGAUUAGAGAUGGGGAGGAUUUGGGCCUAGCCGGCCUAGCCCAGGAGCUGCAGGCUUCCAUGGGCCUUCCCCUAUGCAGGCUUUCGCUGGAGGAAGCCCUGGAUAGGCAGCCGAACACUGAGGCCCCAAGCAUGGAUGUGGCUGCGAACGGCCUUCUCUUGGCCUGUCCUGCUUCUGCCCCUGUGGAUAGACCCCAAGAUUCCACAGCGGUGCUGCAAGAUUUCCUCUGCUGCUUCGCCUCCCCUGCCCCAGCUCCAAUCCUGCCGACCCCCUGGUGGCGGCGCCUGCUGCUAGAGAGAAGAGGGGCAAGGAGGCGGCGGAGACCGCCACGAUCCGCUCCAGUGGUCGGCAUGCGGCCAAGCCCACAAGCAAGAUGA
rnacentral:rRNA from 1 species